UACGUAGGGUGCAAGCGUUGUCCGGAAUUAUUGGGCGUAAAGAGCUCGUAGGCGGUUUGUCGCGUCUGCUGUGAAAUCCCGAGGCUCAACCUCGGGCCUGCAGUGGGUACGGGCAGACUAGAGUGCGGUAGGGGAGAUUGGAAUCCUGGUGUAGCGGUGGAAUGCGCAGAUAUCAGGAGGAACACCGGUGGCGAAGGCGGGUCUCUGGGCCGAUGACUGACGCUGAGGAGCGAAAGCGUGGGGAGCGAACAGG
rnacentral:rRNA from 1 species